AUUGAACGCUGGCGGCAUGCCUUACACAUGCAAGUCGAACGGUAACAGGUCUUCGGAUGCUGACGAGUGGCGAACGGGUGAGUAAUACAUCGGAACGUGCCCGAUCGUGGGGGAUAACGGAGCGAAAGCUUUGCUAAUACCGCAUACGAUCUACGGAUGAAAGCAGGGGACCGCAAGGCCUUGCGCGGACGGAGCGGCCGAUGGCAGAUUAGGUAGUUGGUGGGAUAAAAGCUUACCAAGCCGACGAUCUGUAGCUGGUCUGAGAGGACGACCAGCCACACUGGGACCGAGACACGGCCCAGACUCCGACGGGAGGCAGCAGUGGGGAAUUUUGGACAAUGGGCGCAAGCCUGAUCCAGCCAUGCCGCGUGCAGGAUGAAGGCCUUCGGGUUGUAAACUGCUUUUGUACGGAACGAAAUGGCUCUUUCUAAUAAAGAGGGCUAAUGACGGUACCGUAAGAAUAAGCACCGGCUAACUACGUGCCAGCAGCCGCCGUAAUAC
rnacentral:rRNA from 1 species